UACGUAGGGUGCAAGCGUUGUCCGGAAUUAUUGGGCGUAAAGAGCUCGUAGGCGGUCCGUCACGUCGGUUGUGAAAAUCCAGGGCUCAACUCUGGACCUGCAUCCGAUACGGGCGGACUAGAGUUCGGUAGGGGAGACUGGAAUUCCUGGUGUAGCGGUGAAAUGCGCAGAUAUCAGGAGGAACACCGGUGGCGAAGGCGGGUCUCUGGGCCGAUACUGACGCUGAGGCACGAAAGCGUGGGGAUCAAACAGG
rnacentral:rRNA from 1 species